rnacentral:rRNA from 1 species
UACGGAGGGGGAUAGCGUUGUUCGGAAUUACUGGGCGUAAAGCGCACGUAGGCGGAUUAGUAAGUCAGGGGUGAAAUCCCGGGGCUCAACCUCGGAACUGCCUUUGAUACUGCUGAUCUCGAGUCCGGAAGAGGUGAGUGGAAUUCCUAGUGUAGAGGUGAAAUUCGUAGAUAUUAGGAAGAACUCCAGUGGCGAAGGCGGCUCACUGGUCCGGUACUGACGCUGAGGUGCGAAAGCGUGGGGAGCAAACAGG